UUGAGCCCGUUUCUAACUCCUUCCCUGUCAUAAUGAACUAGGCUCGUCGAGACGGGUAUCGGAAUCCAAUCAAUUUCUCAUUUCCAGCCCAGCUCAUAACUUAUCAUAAAUGCAAUCCGUCACCCUCAGCCCUGUUGUUGUGUAACUUGAAAAUUAGCGGCCAAAAACUUUCUUCGACAUGUGGGAAUCGUGGUUCAACGAGCUGAUAACGGUCCUCCAGCAUCGAUUCGAAAUUGAACCGGAGAAAUUCGUCCUUCCAGUGACGGAAUGAUAGAUUUUCAUCCCUCGUUCACCCCAACGCCAGACAGGACUAAGUCGAGAUAAUGGAUGCACUGAUGUGUAUGUGUGCUGACCGAACCUUUGGGUGGGGUCGUCGGUCAAGGACUGAGAGCUGCAGACCACCAAGCGGAUCCGAGGACGCAGGUCAAACACGUUUUAUACUUCUUAACACCAAUGAAGAUGUUGGAAGGCUCCUAGGAUUGGGAUUUUAUCUUUAGGCCAGUGGUAAAAAAAACGACGGGUGAAUAUGGAGCCCGGAUGGCUGCAGGGAGAUGAGGUAUGAUAAUGGGCCAAUUGAAGGGCUGUAAGGCAGGUAAGCGAGUGUCCAGCCUGGAAGACCCAAUUUGUCCGAGCUUGUUGGUGGGCUCCUCAGCAUCAUUUUCGGGCUUUUCGUGAGCUUUUUAGCAAAUUUAUGGCCCUAAUCAGUAAUUGAGAUGGAUGAUCCCCACUCACCAAGUCCGACGCCGCCUUGUGUCUUUCAUUCUGAAAGGCGAAAAAGCUAUUUAGAACCAAUUCGGGAAGACUGGAUACAAUUCGAGGAUACUUAUAUCUGUUCCAAAAGAGGUUUUACAAGAAAUUGGUAGCCCUGGGAGUGCUUCCAGAAGUUUUAGAAAUUCCUCCGUGGCUUCCCUCGAUGUCUGUUUUGCAUUGCCAAUUUCUGCCAAACAGACACUGUUAUUAUAAGAUUGUAAGAGGACCUACUUUUCCUCAGCAACCGGAGAACGAGCAAAAAUUCUUUCAUCAUAAUUAGCCAAAGCACGCUGUUGAUACCGGGCGCUCCAAGUCUCCGACUGACCCACCCCAAAGGUUUUGCGCUAUCUCCUGAGACGAUUUGGUCUUUGGGGGACUCUCUGGAUCCUCUUAUUCUACAAUUGUCCGUGAUUUCCACCAUCUUAUGGUUUUAUAUCCCUCAUUGUCCUAAGGAGGUGGCAAGCCGACUCAAAGAAAAACCGUCAAAACAUGUCGUUAAACCGGAAACCAGGGCUUGUCUGCUUGAUCGUCGUCGUCGUCGUCGAAGUCGUCGAAGUCGUCUUCUCAUUUCAGGGUGAAAAAUACGGAAUAUCACACCUUAUAAGUCCAAUUUGGCCCGGCCCGAGAAGUGCCUGCAGAGGAUUGGGAGGGUAAUUAAGGAGACACAGGGGAGUCAAAUUAUCCACCCUCGAUUGGUGGGUGCAAGCGGUGCUGCAUGCAAGUCGGGAGGAUCGAACAGCGGCCGGAUGGCCGGAUGCCUUUUCUCUGGUGCUGACGAAGAACUUGACUUGAAACCUUGGGCGAGGAGGACCACACCGGGUGUGACCUAUCUAUCUUUUCUAUUGAAAAAAUGCAGUUGGAAAUUGCCCUGAGAUCAGAGCGAGAGCACAGGAAGCAAUCUGGUCCAUCAGAGGGCAAGAUUGGGAGGAACCCACGCUGGCAUCAAUAUUUUCAUCCUGGCUUGCAUUUCCCUCACGUAAUGAGAAGAGUGUCGUUCGAGAUGUGCUCGAACUUGAAGAUUGACAGCGAUCAAACUUAGGAAAGAAAUAUGCGAGCAUGUAUGAACCCGUGUUUUGGCUAGUGUUUCAUUGCUAUUGUUGGUCGUAUGUGUGGACUAUUGAGGAUUAUUUAGGCAAUUUAUAUUGCUCUUGUUCUCAAAUUGCCCUCAUUUGGAAGCACUGCCUCCCAACAAUGAAUGACAACGACCAUACUGGGGACAGCACUAGUACAGUCGAGAAUCCGCCCCAAUAGCCCGUCUACAUGGGGAGGCUCAGAAUGAAUGUAAAAGUGUGCGGUUGAGAGUGACACGAAAAUAAUAAACAGAGGACCCAACCUCUGUUGUGAUAUCCUUGGCACAGUUUCUCUUGUCCACCCGGCAACGCUUCUUUCUUCAUCCAGUUUCAAAAUGAAUGGGAAAGCUAUACACAUACAAAUGCGAGACUCCAGGCAUCUUUACCCGCUCUAAAAAAUGGGAACCUCAUUUGUAACCAUCUUCGGGGUAUCUGGAAAUUAGUCAGGAUCAUGAGGAUCACUUGAAUUUCCUGCCCUCCAUCUCUGGCAUUCCUUUGAAUUCGGUUGAAGGCUUCUGGUGGGUUUUGAUUUAUGCGGCACAUGCACGUAGUUCAAUUCGGAUUUGAAAUGUGGAAACUACUCCAUCGUGUCUGGGUGUGUUUGGAAAUUCUUAAUUCCGAACUGCCUCCACACUGAAGUCAAAGGGUUCCACAUGAGGCAUGACCAAACGAUGUUGAAUAGUGGACUUGAUUUCAGACCACUUCAUCCCAAACGAUUUCCCUCCAAAAUUCUCAUUCAUCACCAAGAAGUCGCAGCACCAAAACCUCGGGAGGUCAUCUAUGGGUCUGGCUUCAUUAUUUACGUAUUGGAAAUGGCACAAGAGGGGUUUUCGAUCUAUAUCAAGCAGAACCACUCCUCAACUCUGCUUGGACUUGAUCAGACAUUUAAUAUUCCCAGAUAUCUUACAUUUGGAUUGUCCAACGAUGCCGAGGGCAUUGACAUCUCGCCCAGCCGAGAUUAGAUUUGAACAUGAAAACGACAUUGGUUAAGUAAAAUAAAUUAUAUGCUAAUAGUAGGGGGGCUCUCCCUCCUCCUCCUCCUUCUCUUACGCCUCCAUUCCUCCCUUGAGUCCAGAGGAACGAAGAGACGGGACCCAUUUGAGGGUAUGCUUUGGCCAACCCGAGGAGUCCAUCCGUCAAGUAAAUUUUACACUCUAUUUGAACAGCCCAUAAAUUAGGGAAUGACACAAAAGCAGUUUAGCAUAUGGCAAAUGGGAACAAUCAUCUUCUACGGGAUUAGUUGAGAACUUUCAUCAUCGAUACAUAUAUUUCUUCAGAGGGCAAAACAUGAAGGAUAUACGUACGCGUAAAUGCCUCCAAAAUGUGGCUUCAACACAAAAAUUCCGUUUCGUCUUGGACUUUUUUGUUGAGUGCACCGAGAUUUUCAUCAUUAGCUGUCCAUUGUAUUGUGCAGAAGCCAUAGAGCAGUUUGGUGUUGCUUCUUCGGGUGGGUCGCAAUUUCUGGAUUACUGACAUUUACGAUAGCGCUUUGAAUGGGUCCAUUGAGAGAGGCCAGCAUUCAGGGAGAUGUCGUCACCUCCACGAGAUUGGGGAAUUAAAAUAGUUCACCUCUUCUCGAGAACAUGGAAGUGACGAGUUAAGAGUGCAAAGGCGAGUUAUUUAUUGAGCUUUCGCCCAAGGUGUGGGUCCUUGUUACGUGCUCUGCUACGUUCAAACGAACUUUACUCUCUGCCACAGGAGAGAUGUCAAAGAUGUCAGCGGCCCAACCUUAAUGAGAAGAACGGCCAAGAUGGUAUGAACUGGCGGCUUAAAGCAUGAACAUUCAAGAUUCAUUUAUGCUUAAAAAAAACCAUGAGCUUCAGACCCGGACAAGCCAAGAAGAGUUGGAGAAUCGCCACAUGGUCACAUUUUCGCCUCCAGGCUUGGAACCGACCGCGACGAAAAUUGUUGAGCAAUGUGCCAGAAAUACUUGGAAUAUUGGGUCAGAUGACCGAGCGAGCCCAGAGCCGGACCCGAUUGAGCCGUAAUCAUGAAAACGGAUGCCAAAAAGACGGAUUAUGUUCUUGACUCGAGGGUAUUAGUUAACGCAAUCGCUGACCCUUGAAUGUGUUAAACCAUAACGCUCGAAUAUCUCUGCUGACCUUAAGCCCAUCGUUGUUGUCGUCUUUGUCGCUGUUGUCGCGGAUGGAGUGCCAAAGAGUACUACUUACUAGGAAUACUACGUACUUCGCUGGGACAAUCCAGCUGCUCCCGAUAUUCGACCACUGGAACUGUUCACUUUUUCACCCUUUCGUGGUCAAGUGAUCAGUUGGAAGAAGUACGCAAGUAAGAACGAGAAAAGGGUUGGAAAUGCUCCCCUCGGUGUCGUUGGCAUAUUUUUUACCUAAAAGAAAACAUUUUAAAAGGAAGCCAUCACCAUAAAAUAUACCGAACUGGAAAAGAGAGAGAGAGAGAUAGAACGAGGAGACUCGCAUUCGUUCCUACAUAAAGCUAAUCGAAAUGCACUGGUCAACCCGAAGAAGCUCAUGCAAAUCUUGGCCCCCCCUCUCGAAGGUUUAAAAGCUAGAAAAGAAAAGAGGAGCACAAUUAUCUCUGAGAUUCAAAGAAUCUCUUUUUGCCCCUCAAAAGUGCUCAAGAAAGGAGAGGCGCUUUGCAUGUUGAUUGGAAGAAAUAACGCUCUGUCUACCCUCCUCAAAUGGUCCGAUUGCCGUUAUGCUGUUAUUGGUUUGAAAAACACAAAUUAGACCUUUUGUGGGCACGGAUUUGUGUCUCUGACCGUUUCUCGACGCCAUCACAAGCAACAAUCCGUGAACAGCGAAGCACACCAAGCAUGCCUUGUUCCAAUUCCCCGGUGAUGAUGUUGAUCUAGGAAUCAUCGCCUUAAGAAAGAAAUGGCAUGCGUGUCAAAGUCGAACUCAUCCACCCAUAAUAUCAGGGCCCAAUCAUCGAUCUUGAGGCCAUUCAAGCGACAUCUUGACAGCUUGAUGCGUCCACAAAUGAUUUGUUUUCCCCAUGCCCUUUUAUGUCGACGUGUUGAUGGCCAUAGAGUUACGAACCUAGAGAGCGUUUCUUGGUAUACAAGGGGGUUCACUCGCAAUUAUCAAGCUAGAUUACUUCCAUUUUGGUGCAAGGGUCGAAUCAGGACUGGAAGUUACCUAGAGAUAAGUGGAAAAAGGUUGCACAUAUCGACAUGUGGUUUAGAUAUUUCCUAGACUCAUUUGAAGGAGUCAUCUUGUAUCAGUUUUUUACCAAAAAAAUACAAAUUCUUUAUUUGUCUUAAGUCUAAGCAUGUUUGCAAAGUCCAUUCCUCGACAUUUAAUUGAGCAGUUUUUCAAUUCAAGAACAGACACCCGCCAAUUUUUUUUUUUUGCAACAGCGCUUCAUUAUCUGUAAAACAGACAUCUUUAAAAUUGUUUAGUUCUUCAAAAAUCUUAAUUAAAAAAAGUUUUAAAAUCUUUAAAACUUAGAAAUUUUUAGUUCGACCAAACUGAAGCUCAAAAAGCAGUUUUUUGCAUUUCCAUGAAUCAACAUUUUUAACAUGAUAGUUAAAAUGAUAGAUAAUGUAAAUGAAACAGAGCGGGAAAAGUGGAUUCAAAUGGAUAUAGAAGAGGAAGUUAUUCAUUUUCCAGCGAGAUUACUGCCUUGUACCGUAUACUUAAUGCGCCAUUUUGACCAGCUUGGCAGAAUUGACAAAGAACUUUAGGACCAUUAUUUGGAUCAUCAUUAAAAUCAGCACAUUUAUAACUAAACUAGUCCCAUGGAUGCAUACAUUACUGAAAGUAGACACAACCCACAAGGAAAUAUGUAAACGUCCACAAUUAAGCAUUCAAAUUGUACACAAGAUGCGCAUAGAAAACUCAUUUUUGGUGUGCUGGACCAAGUCGUCGCCAUUAGGUUGUCAAGAGUCGUUGGCCACUCUUUUAUCUCUUUGUCGAGAUCCAAUCCAAAUCCAAAUUCCUUUACUUUCUACCCUCAAGUCGAGAUUGUGGCCAGUCGUUUGUGUUAGGACACACAUGAAAGAGACAUGUAUUUAUAUAUUUGUCCGAGUCCACAAUCUCAACUGACUUUUGUCACUCCCUCUCUUUCUGGUGGAGGACACAGAAUAACAAGAUGCUUUUGAAGUUUAGUCAUGCAAACACAUUAUUCCGUCUCCUCCUUUACAAAGCAGUCCACAGAUCGCAGUUUGCCGAAGGUUUCAGUCGAUCGGUGGGUCCUUGGUUGAGGAGCGGUUGUUGCUUCGCCACAUUGUGAUCCAUGUGAGUUUGUUUGUUACAACAUGAUGGAUUGAUUGGAUGCAUAUAAUGACUUGAGAGAUCUCCCAAGCAUUCGGAACGUUAGAACUACUCGUACGUACGUACACACAUACUCACAAACACACACACACACAGGCCUCUCUUUCUCCCCCUUGCACACAUGUGAAAUCUUGUUUUUUCCUCCACUCCCCAUCUAUCAAAACGGGCAUAAAUUUACAAAUGCAACACUCCCCAUUUAUUAUUGAUUCUCGAGCUACUCUCUUCAAUCCCGAAAAAAACGAGCCUCAAAUGAUGGAUCAGAAAAUCGAAUGUUUGAAGCAUUCUCCCCGUUUAUUACCCUUGGAUAUAUUUACUUAACUGGGGGAGGAGGAGGAGGCGGCGAAGGACAACUACAGUAGAGAAAGAGCUUGGUACAACAUCAGUAUUGUACUAAUACUUGUUCAAACCGGGUGAGUCAGUGCAACAGGCAUCCUCUCUCUCUCUUUCUCUGUUCUCUUCCUUCCCCUUUCAUUCCCCUUCGCCGAAUGGGAUUAGAGUGACACAUCCAUUUUUCUGGAGUGAUGCCCUCAUUCAAAAUUGAGAAUAAAAUUUUCCAACGUCUUUUUAUGUGUUUCUGGCCAUUUCUUUGGGUUGUAAACUUGUGAUUUUAUAGAGAAUUAAGGUCACGAACACCAGUUGAUUUCGAGUGAUGGGAGAGAUGGGAGAUCGGAAAUUGAAAGUUUUGGCCCUUCAGCAGCUGUCUGUAUGUCUAUCUAUCUGUAGGAGUACUUAUCUAUGUGGGGGUGAAGGCACGGUGACAGUUGCUGAGCUGCUCAGCGAACCCUUUAUUUGAUUACACUUCAGUAAAUAGUAGUCUGUGAUGAGAAGAUUGUAGGUGAUUUGACACAAAAGUGAACUGAGAUGACUCAUUAAAAUCUCUCGGAUCGCGCUUCUCGUUCAACCAACAAUUGGUUCUUUGGCUAUUCAACGUUCAACUCACUCACACACUCACACUCUCUCUCUCUCUCUCUCUUUCUCUUUCUGUUGUUCAAUGAACUAUUGAUUCUCUCUUCCACAUAUGGCGGUGAACCAAUUUGAGGUUCGUGCGGUUGCUCUCAAUCUAUCGCAGUAUUAGUAAUGAUAACCAUCACGCACCAAGCUCCUUCUUGUACCAACCAUUGUAUUGCUUUCCAAAUGAAAUACAUCGAUUAAAAGACCUAAAGUAGGUGCCAAAAGUCGGCAAUGUUCUGAAGGGCAUCUCGCAUUCGUCAGAAGUUUUAAACAGAUAAGUGCAACAUGACA